UACGGAGGGUGCGAGCGUUAAUCGGAAUUACUGGGCGUAAAGCGCACGCAGGCGGUUUGUUAAGCUAGAUGUGAAAGCCCCGGGCUCAACCUGGGAUGGUCAUUUAGAACUGGCAGACUAGAGUCUUGGAGAGGGGAGUGGAAUUCCAGGUGUAGCGGUGAAAUGCGUAGAUAUCUGGAGGAACAUCAGUGGCGAAGGCGGCUCCCUGGCCAAAGACUGACGCUCAUGUGCGAAAGUGUGGG
rnacentral:rRNA from 1 species